rnacentral:lncRNA from 1 species
GCAGCAGGCUGAAAGCAAUGGUCGCAGCACCCCAGUGGAAGGAACCUGGUUCAAACUGAAAGACAUGCACAGACGUAUGAUGCACACUUAGUCAUUCACUGUUCAGUUCACUCAGUUCACGUCAAACUCUCUUUCUCCAUAAAAGUUGCCACAAGUAUUUGUACUUUCAGUCCUUAUUUUGGGAAGGUGGACGGGCUGAGCCCUUAAUCCCUUCCUGGCAGGCUACUACAACCAGUCUAAGUUUUUUCAUGCUCCAUAUCAAACCUUCACUGAGUAUUUGACAGCCAACAGUGAGGGGCUUCUCAUGUGACAGAAUCACAGAUCACAGAAUGGCCUGGGUUGGAAGGGACCUCAAGGAUCAUGAAUCUCCAACCCCCCUUUCUGGGCAGGGCCACCAACCUCCCCAUUUACUAGACCAGGUUGCCCAGGGCCCCAUCCAACCUGGCCUUGAACACCUCCAGGGACAGGGCAUCCACAACCUCUCUGGGCAGCCCGUUCCAGCUGCGUCCCAUUUCAUCAGCUCUCCACUGGGGCUCACUGCUGCUGCACUCAGACAGAGCACUGAGCAAGAACACUGCCUUGGGACAUUGAAAUCACCACAGACAUUAAACAGGCAACAGAGCUGAGGCAGACGGGCUGUAUCCCCGACCUCCCGUGCUGAUGUGCACCAUGCUGCCAAGGAGUGGAAAACUACCUGCUGAGUCACUGGAUGAUGCUGAACGUCUUCAACAGCAAGAAGUCAAAAAACCCAGCAGAGAACAGCUUCAGGUUGGGUGUUCUUGAAAUAAGAUGAGGUGGAAACAUAUGUUUGGGGCACAGAAAAUUUCCCAGCAAAGCAUCAUGUUCAUGACCAACCACCUGCUAAAAGGAGAUGCCUCUUCCUGCAGCUGCAGAUGAUGCUCCUUGUGCAGUGCAGCCAGCAGGACUGGUAUCUCAGUUAUCCGAAAAAUUACACCACAAAGUGACCCCUCUGCCACAACCGGCCUCCAAAAGGGAUGGCCAAGCGUCCACAGCACCACACAGCAGCAGUGAGAUUCUACCCAAGGGAUGGUCCCGACCCUCAGCACUGCCUGGCUGAGCACUGCGAGAUGCUGAAAGUUCAGACACUCCUCCAAUUCCAGUAGGAAUGACGGCAUCGGUCCCAGCACAGAGCUUACAGCCAGAAGGUAUUUCAAACCUCCACCCUGCGUUGUGUGUGUCAUUCCCUGUGCUGCUCCUCCAGGGCUCCUCCUGCCUUCGUGAUUCAGAAGCAAACAACUGCUAAUACUUCCUUUGGCUGCGUUUUUGCAUGCAACCACUGACACCCUUACAGAUUUCUCUAUUACAGACAGCAAACAAAUGAGACAGCGAGGCAGACCUGUCUGCAAAGCAGCGUGGUAACAAGAACCCUCUCUGGCUGCCAUGGCAAAACUGGGAAAUGGUGGACUGCUCUCUGCUCGCCCUCUGAAGACAUUAGAAAUGAUAAGGUUACAACAGAGCAGCUCACUGCAGAACAAGAGAUGGGCAGUGAGAGAGCCCAGCUCUCAGGACUUGACAGUGACGGAUGUCUUGCCAGGCAUCUUACAAAACCAACCAAGUGUGGAAUUAGACGUGGACAGCAUCGUGCAGCUGGCC